GACAGAGGGUGCAAACGUUGUUCGGAUUUACUGGGCGUAAAGCGUGUGUAGGCGGCUUCGUAAGUUGGAUGUGAAAUCCCACGGCUCAACCGUGGACGUGCAUCCAAAACUACGUCGCUGGAGUCUCGGAGAGGAAGGUGGAAUGCUUGGUGUAGAGGUGAAAUUCGUAGAUAUCAAGCAGAACACCUGCGGCGAAGGCGGCCUUCUGGACGAUGACUGACGCUGAGACACGAAAGCGUGGGGAGCAAACAGG
rnacentral:rRNA from 1 species